rnacentral:tRNA from 1 species
CCUGACUUCGUUCAAUGGUAGGACGCCGGACUGUGGACUCGGAGACGCGUUGGGUUCGAUUCCCCCAGUCAGGACCA